rnacentral:rRNA from 1 species
CUACGGGGGGCAGCAGUGAGGAAUAUUGCACAAUGGGGGGAACCCUGAUGCAGCAACGCCGCGUGGAGGAUGGCGCAUUUCGGUGUGUAAACUCCUUUUAUAUGUCAAGAAAAUGACGGUAGCAUAUGAAUAAGCACCGGCUAACUCCGUGCCAGCAGCCGCGGUAAUACGGAGGGUGCAAGCGUUACUCGGAAUCACUGGGCGUAAAGGACGCGUAGGCGGGUUGGAAAGUCAGGUGUGAAAUCCUACAGCUUAACUGUAGAACUGCACUUGAAACUUCUAAUCUAGAGUAUGGGAGGGGGAGAUGGAAUUAGUGGUGUAGGGGUAAAAUCCGUAGAUAUCACUAGGAAUACCUAAAGCGAAGGCGAUCUCCUGGAACAUUACUGACGCUAAGGCGUGAAAGCGUAGGGAGCAAACAGGAUUAGAUACCCGGGUAGUC